rnacentral:rRNA from 1 species
UACGGGGGGGCAAGCGUUGUUCGGAAUUACUGGGCGUAAAGGGCUUGUAGGUGGCCAACUAAGUCAGACGUGAAAUCCCUCAGCUUAACUGGGGAACUGCUUCUGAUACUGGAUGGCUUGAGUUUGGGAGAGGGAUGCGGAAUUCCAGGUGUAGCGGUGAAAUGCGUAGAUAUCUGGAGGAACACCGGUGGCGAAGGCGGCAUCCUGGACCAACACUGACACUGAAAAGCGAAAGCCAGGGAGCAAACGGG